GGGUACCUAGCUCAAUUGGUAGAGCACCGCAUUGAAAAUGCGGGUGUUCCCGGUUCAAGUCCGGGGGUGCCCA
rnacentral:tRNA from 1 species